rnacentral:lncRNA from 1 species
CGUGGCAGGCCAGGGUGGUGUCGGGAAAUGCAACAGUUGGGCAGGAAAUGUCUGUCCUCACCUAGGUCCGUGGGGUGGAUCCCUAACAAGGGACCACGCCCUCCUCUACCCUGCACUUCCCUUCCCCGGUUUCCUAUUAUUUAAAGAGACCAGGGUCUUCCCUUCCCAGCACUCCCAUAUUAAUUCCACGCAAGUGGAAGUCACCAACAGCUACACCAGCAUUGUCAGAAGGAAUAUUAAUUAAACUGCUGUCGCUGCAGAUUGUGACUGGGGGCCUGUUUGCUUGGAUGUAGGAACAAUUGGAGAAAUUCCAUCGCUGCCCAGCUGACACUGGUGGUCAGCUGCUAAUGACCCUUCCGCUGGAGAGAAGAGGAAGUGGGCUUGGCUCUAACUUGCCCUGAUCCCCUUCCAGCCUGACAUUUCUAUGCACAGAGAACUAAUGGAGUCAGACCAGACUGCAAAUUCCCAUGCUGCCAUGCAGAAGCCAGGAGUAUGAAAUCAAGGUGUCAGAGGGGCUGUACUCCCUCCGAAGGCUGCAGGAGAAAAUCUAUUGCUUGCCUCUUCUACCUUUUGGUGGUUCCAGGAGUUCCUUGGCUUGUGAUCACAUCACUGAAAUCUUAACCUACCUGGUCAUACUGCUGCCUCUUCUUCUCUCUCAAAACUUCUCCUGCCUCUCUUCAUACUUGUGAUUGCAUUUAGGGUCCAUCUGGGUACUCCAGGAAAAACUCCUACUGUCAAGAUUUAACUUAAUCAUAUCUUAUGUCAUAUAAAGUCAUGUUCAAUAUUUUACAACAUAAAAUAAUAGUCACAGUUUCUGGAGAUAAGGACAUGGGCGUGUCUUUUGGGGGAUCAUCCUUCAAUCCAUUGCAUCUAUCUAUCAGUGAUCACCCCAACCCAAAUAAACCCGCAUAAUAUUU